GAACGCACCUUGCGCCCUCUGGUAUUCCGGAGGGCAUGCCUGUUUGAGUGUCAUGAAAACCUCACCCCUUCGGGUUUCCGAUUGGGUGGAUCUGGGUGUUGCCUCUCGAGGCUCGCCUUAAAAGCAUUAGCAACUUGAAGACGUGAUACGUUUCGUCAACCAGGUUGCUUCUAAUCUCCCGCAAGGGAUGCUGCAAAGCAAUCAUGUCUACGACCUCAAAUCAGGUAGGGCUACCCGCUGAACUUAAG
rnacentral:misc_RNA from 1 species